AUUCCGUAGGUGAACCUGCGGAAGGAUCAUUCAUAAUAAAGUGUUUUAUGGCACUUUUUAAAAAUCCAUAUCCACCUUGUGUGCAAUGUUAGAUCUCGUCAAUCUUGGCGAGAUUUUUAUACAUCAACUCAUUUUUUAACUAAUUUGUCUGAAAAAUAUUAUGAAUACUUAAUUCAAAAUACAACUUUCAACAACGGAUCUCUUGGCUCUC
rnacentral:misc_RNA from 1 species